rnacentral:lncRNA from 1 species
GAACUGAUGAUGAAUCAUGACCACCUUGGGCUGAGUGGCCAGAGGUGUCGGUCUGGGCAGUGGAAUGAGAAGAGUGGUAUUGGUGAAGAUAAUCCUUAGCCUUGUCUACAUACUUGUUUUCUUCAAGGUUGCCAUAUUUGGAACCAGCAGCCACAAGAUUUUCAGCAGCCCCAGCAACUUUGGCCUUGUCCACCUUGUCUGAUUCUUUGCUGAAUGUGGCCUUUGCUGCCUCUGCUACACAUUUAGCACUAGCCAUGAGCUCAGCGUUUGACGGCUGGUGGUGCUCCUUGGUGGGAUUUUCAUUGUGAGCAGUAGCUGACUUUGAAUCCUCCUUGUUUUGU